rnacentral:rRNA from 1 species
AACGAACGCUGGCGGCAGGCCUAACACAUGCAAGUCGAACGGACCCUUCGGGGUUAGUGGCGGACGGGUGAGUAACACGUGGGAACGUGCCCUUUGGUUCGGAACAACUCAGGGAAACUUGAGCUAAUACCGAAUGUGCCCUUCGGGGGAAAGAUUUAUCGCCAUUGGAGCGGCCCGCGUCUGAUUAGCUAGUUGGUGGGGUAAUGGCCUACCAAGGCGACGAUCAGUAGCUGGUCUGAGAGGAUGAUCAGCCACAUUGGGACUGAGACACGGCCCAAACUCCUACGGGAGGCAGCAGUGGGGAAUCUUGCGCAAUGGGCGGAAGCCUGACGCAGCCAUGCCGCGUGAAUGAUGAAGGCCUUAGGGUUGUAAAGCUCUUUCGGCGGGGACGAUAAUGACGGUACCCGCAGAAGAAGCCCCGGCUAACUCCGUGCCAGCCGCCGCAGUAAAAC